rnacentral:rRNA from 1 species
CCUACGGGAGUCUGCAGUGAGGAAUAUUGGUCAAUGGGCGGAAGCCUGAACCAGCCAAGUAGCGUGCAGGAUGACGGCCCUACGGGUUGUAAACUGCUUUUAGUCGGGAAUAACGCGCCUUACGUGUAGGGCUUUGCAUGUACCGUAUGAAUAAGGACAGGCUAAUUCAGUGCCAGCAGCCGCGGUAAUACGGAAGGCCCGAGCGUUAUCCGGAUUCAUUGGGCUUAAAGGGAGCGUGGGCGGGCGUUCAAGUCAGCUGUAAAAUCGCGCGGCUCAACCGCGCCCCGCAGUUGAAACUGGACGCCUUGAGUUCACAACAGGCAGGCGGAAUUCGUGGUGUAGCGGUGAAAUGCAUAGAUAGCACGAGGAACCCCGAUUGCGAAGGCAGCCUGCCGGGGUGCGACUGACGCUGAGGCUCGAAGGUGCGGGUAUCAAACAGGAUUAGAUACCCUUGUAGUC